rnacentral:tRNA from 1 species
GCACUCGUGGCCCAGUUAGUUAGUGCGUCGUACUAAUAAGCAGUGCAGGAGUAUAUGCGAAGGUCGAGGGUUCGAUCGAUCCCCUCCGGGAGCA